CGGUGACCGGUUAGAACUGAGACGAACGGAAACAGCGAGAACUGACGGACCAGUGAUCCGCCAUGAACGUGGAGCAUUUAAUACAACCGAUGCAAGAUGAUCAUAUUUAUGAUGAUGGGUAGGAAAUAAAUUGUCUUUUCCACAAUAUGCCUAUUCCAUCAUAUUAUUAUGGAGUACCACAAAAUUAGGAUGGACGUUAUCAAAAAAUUAAAAUGGCCAUAGUUUUUAAAAUGUUGGUGCUGCAGCCAAACGUUUCGAGCCUGAAGAAGGCCACUUGGCGCAUCCCCCACCAGUAGAAGGAAAUGGAGUCAGUCAACCUGUAACCGAAAACGUCAGUCUCACUCCAGCCUCUGCCGUGUAGCCUCCGUGCCGUUUUCCGUUGCGUGUCGCCCUUUCACCUCCCCUGUGCAGGAACAGUGUUAUGGUACCGAUGACUCUAAGCUGACCUGUGUUUGUGCGUUUUUUUUUCGUUUUUGUUUUUAUUGUAUUUUAUGGCUGUGAAAUGGCAGUAGUGGAAUCGAGCCGAGGGGGACGGGGGAGCAUGCCUCUGAUGCUGGGGGCGGACCAGACCAUCAUCGCAGCAGGUGGAGCGACCUCCCUCUACCAUCCGCCUGCAGCUUCGCAGGAUCUUCAGCCGGACAGGCCCAUUGGAUACGGUGCCUUCGGCGUCGUCUGGUGAGUCACAUUUUUCAAAUUAUAUUCAA